rnacentral:sRNA from 1 species
GCGGAGGAAAAGAAACCAACAGGGAUUGCCCUAGUAACGGCGAGUGAAGCGGCAACAGCUCAAAUUUGAAAUCUGGCGUCUUCGGCGUCCGAGUUGUAAUUUGCAGAGGGCGCUUUGGCAUUGGCAGCGGUCCAAGUUCCUUGGAACAGGACGUCACAGAGGGUGAGAAUCCCGUACGUGGUCGCUAGCCUUUACCGUGUAAAGCCCCUUCGACGAGUCGAGUUGUUUGGGAAUGCAGCUCUAAAUGGGAGGUAAAUUUCUUCUAAAGCUAAAUACUGGCCAGAGACCGAUAGCGCACAAGUAGAGUGAUCGAAAGAUGAAAAGCACUUUGGAAAGAGAGUUAAAAAGCACGUGAAAUUGUUGAAAGGGAAGCGCUUGCAGCCAGACUUGCCUGUAGUUGCUCAUCCGGGUUUCUACCCGGUGCACUCUUCUAUAGGCAGGCCAGCAUCAGUUUGGGCGGUUGGAUAAAGGUCUCUGUCAUGUACCUCCUCUGGGGGAGAACUUAUAGGGGAGACGACAUGCAACCAGCCUGGACUGAGGUCCGCGCAUCUGCUAGGAUGCUGGCGUAAUGGCUGUAAGCGGCCCGUCUUGAAACACGGACCAAGGAGUCUAACAUCUAUGCGAGUGUUUGGGUGUCAAGCCCGAGCGCGUAAUGAAAGUGAACGGAGGUGGGAACCUUUCGGGGUGCACCAUCGACCGAUCCUGAUGUCUUCGGAUGGAUUUGAGUAAGAGCAUAGCUGUUGGGACCCGAAAGAUGGUGAACUAUGCUUGAAUAGGGUGAAGCCAGAGGAAACUCUGGUGGAGGCUCGCAGCGGUUCUGACGUGCAAAUCGAUCGUCAAAUUUGGGCAUAGGGGCGAAAGACUAAUCGAACUAUCUAGUAGCUGGUUCU